CUUUCUUUCAUCUGAAUAGAGAGCUGCUGUUCGAGUAUUGAGGAUGAAAUACUACAGAUUGAAAUGCUCUGGAAUGCAGUUUUAAAUCUUUCAUCUGAACAUCAUUACAUCUGUGCCCAGGAAUUUCCAAAUUCUAAACCAAAUGAUACAGCUAGAGUUUGAAGACAAUUUGAGAGCUGGUGAAGAUGACAGUUACUUCUUUCUGUUUCUUGUUCUUUGUAUAAUGGAAAUGAAUGUUACUUUUAAUGAGUCAAUUGCAAGAAAUUAAGGUAUCUGCUAGACUCGUUCUUUCUUCCUUUCUUUCUCCCUCCCUGCAUCCCUCUCUUUUUCUCUUCCCCUUUCCCUCCCUCCCUCCCUCUCUUUUUCUUUGCUUUCUUCCUUUCUUCCUUCUUUCCUCCCUCCAUUUCUCCCUCCUUCUCUUCCUCUCUUUCUCCUCUUUGCCUCUACUUCUCUUCCUUCCUUCCAUCCGUCUGUCCUUCCUUGCUUUUGUUCAUUCCACUGACACACAAGGAAUACAUACAGUGGAGGUCCUACCAUGACCAGACACUGUACUAGGCAAA
rnacentral:lncRNA from 1 species